GAGAGAGAGAAUAGAAAAAAUGUGAUGAAUUACAAGUUAACAUGUAUUUUCUUUCUUAUAUAAAUUCUUUCUUUCAUUCAUUUCAUCAUUUUUUCUUUUUCUCUCUUUGUUUGUUUGUUAGUUUGUUUGUUUGUUUGUUUGUUUCUUCCCUUGUUUCUUUCUUUCCUUGUUUCUCUUUCUUUCUUUCUUUCUUUCUUUCUUUUUUUCUUUUUUCUUUCUUACUCUCGUUCUAUCUCCCUAUCUAUCUAUCUAUCUAUCUAUCUAUCUAUCACUCAGGUAUGUAAAGGUCAGGUGUUGGAGGCUAGUAACACACACUGAUUAAUCUCCCUGUUCGCCACUUGUGUUCAGGUUCACCUUUGAAUUAAUUAUAUCGCUCCGUAGGUCGAGUCGCUUGUGGCGGUACUCCCUUACAGCUUGGUUAAAAAAAGUCUAGUACAGUUUCGACAAAGAUGUAAUUCGGUUUGGGAAAAUGUAUCUAUAUUUUUUUUCAUGUUGUCAGAAUGUAAGCAAGGGUAAAAUAUAUGAGUGGUAGUUUGGUCACGAUGCUAUGAAGAUUCGACAAGUCUUAAUCUCGUUCAGUUUCUUCAGUUUCGUCAAGGUGUUAAUUCAGUUUGGUCAAAAUCUAGUUCUGUUUCGACAAGUUCUGAUUCAGUUCGGUCAAAAUCUUGUUCAGUUUCGACAAGUUCUGAUUCAGUUCGGUCAAAAUCUAGUUCAGUUUCGACAAGUUGUAAUUCGGUUUGCUUAAAAUCUAGUUCAGUUUCGACAAGUUGUAAUUCGGUUUGCUUAAAAUCUAGUUCAGUUUCGACAAGUUGUAAUUCGGUUUGCUUAAAAUCUAGUUCAGUUUCGACAAGUUGUAAUUCGCUUUGGUCAAAAUCUAGUUCAGUUUCGUCAUCUUGUAAUUCAGUUUCGUCUUAAUAUAUUUCAGUUUCGUCAAGUUGUAAUUAAGGUUGUUCAAAAUCUAGUUCAGUUUCGACGAGUUCUAAUUCACUUCGGUCAAAUAAUCCAGUUCAGUUUUGUCAUGUUGUAAUUCGGUUUGGUCAUAUGUAGUUCAGGUCAUCAAGAGGUAAGCAAAUAUUAGAUAACUAUAUGAUUUCCAGUUUGCUCAGAAUUUCCGAUCAGUUUGGUCAGAAUAUUAAAAAGUUUCGGACAUAUUAGAAACGAAAGGGAACUGAUCAGAUAAAACAAAAAUACAGGUUUUCAGGUUAUCUCUCCUCGAGCUUAUCAGACGAAAAGAUAAUCUCCUUUGCACAUUUAGAGGUCUCAGUUAUACGCUUUGACUAAUAAGGUGUUGCAAAUAAACGUAAAACAAAUUAACUGCAUGUAGAACGCUGAACAUAGUAUUUUGUUGUCUUGAGGCCAUACAAAUACACAUAAAAAGCAACCACGUUCUCAUCAGCUCCUUACAUAAACGGAGGGAGGAUAAGGAAGAGGAGAAGGAGAGGGAGGCAAGGGAAAAUAAUAAAAAAAAAAAAAUCCCAGUCACCGUGAAGACUCAGAUUAGUAUCUCUAUCAAUCUAUCUAUCUGUCUAUCUGAUUAUCUCUCUCUCCAAAUGCUUCAGUCAAGUGGCUUCAUCAUAGACCAGAUAAGGAAGCCCCAACACAAGAACCUGGCUGAGUGAUUAGGCUCGGUAGGACGUGCUGAUCUUAUGAGGUUAUCGAUAGUUUUUUUAAGUUGUAAGAAAAAAAGAAGAGAAUAGCUUGACAUUAGGAGGAAAUAGCAAAGGAAGAAAGGAAAGAGAUGUAUACAAGGCGGCUGACUAUGCUAUGUGUGGUUAUGUAUUUGAUUAUGUAAGUGUAAUUGUGUGAAGGUAAUCGAUGUUCUUAAAGGUGUAAGAAUAGAUUGAUGUAAAAAGGGAAUCGCUAUAAAGGAAGGAAAGAGAUGUAUUUAAGGCGGCUGACUAUGCUAUGUUUGGUUAUGUAUUUGAUUAUAUAAGUGUAAUUGUGUGAAGGUAAUCGAUGUUCUUAAAGGUGUAAGAAUAGAUUGAUGUAAAAAGGGAAUAGCUAUAAAGGAAGGAAAGAGAUGUAUUUAAGGCGGCUGACUAUGCUAUGUUUGGUUAUGUAUUAGAUUAUAUAAAUGUAAUCGAACUUAGGUAAAUGAUGUUCUUAAAAGUAAGUUGAGUAAGAGAAAAAAGAACUUGAUUGAUGUUUGAAGUCAGUAACAUAGAAAGGAAGGAAAGAGGAAUAUGUAAGGAGAUUGACUAUUCUACGCUCGGUUGUAUAUUAGUGGAUUAUAAAAGUGUAAUUUAGGGUAGGUAUUCAAUGAUCUUAAAAGCGUGUUGAAUAAGAAUUGCUUGAUGUUUGUAAGGAAUAACGUAGAAAGAAAGGAAAGAUAGAUUUGUAAGGAGAUUGACUAUGCUAUGUUAGGUUGUAUAUUAGAUUAUGUGAGUGUAAUUUAGGGUAGGUAUUCAAUGAUCUUUAAAGCGUGUUGAAUAAGAACUGCUCGAUGGUUGAAAGGAAUAACGCAGAGAGAAAGGAAAGAUAAAUACGUAAGGAGAUUGACUCUGCUAUGUUAGGUUGUAUAUUAGAUUAUGUGAGUGUAAUUUAGGGUAGGUAUUCAAUGAUCUUAAAACUGUGUUGAAUAAGAAUUGCUUGAAGUUUGAGAGGAAUAACGUAGAAAGAAAGGAAAGAAAAAUAUGUUAGGGGGUGGACUAUGCUAUGUUAGGUUGUAUAUUAGAUUAUGUGAGUGUAAUUUAGGGUAGGUAUUCAAUGAUCUUAAAAGCGUGUUGAAUAAGAAUUGCUUGAUGUUUGUAAGGAAUAACGUAGAAAGAAAGGAAAGAUAGAUUUGUAAGGAGAUUGACUAUGCUAUGUUAGGUAGUAUAUUAGAUUAUGUGAGUGUAAUUUAGGGUAGGUAUUCAAUGAUCUUAAAAGCGUGUUGAAUAAAAAAUGCUUGACGUUUGAAAGGAAUAACGUAGAAAAAAAAAGGAAAGAAAAAUAUGUUAGGGGGUGAACUAUGCUAUGUUAGGCUGUAUAUCAGAUCAUGUGUGCGUAAUUGAGUGGCGGUAAUCAAUGUUCAUCAAGGUGUAUUAGGCAACGUGUGCAGGGAAUGACGUAGGAAGGGAUGAUUAAUACGCAGGAAAGUUAAUAGGUAGUUAAGGGUGUGUUUACAUAUGCAGAUGAAGUUACAGAGGUCGAAAGCUUGUCAGUGGUAAUUCUUAUUUCGUUAUGAAGUCAAACUUAAUAAGAAUAUGUUUAUUACCUGAGUUCUAUUCGAGGGACUGAUAUUAACCACACCCUAAUAGAUUGAUAAAUAGAUAAAAGAUAGAAUGAUAGAAAGAUAAACAGAUAGAUAGAUAGAUAGACAGACAGACAGCUAGGUUUAUUGACGACAUAUUACAAUUCAGUUUCUCUCUCUCUCUCUCUCUCUCUCUCUCUCUCUCUCUCUCU